AGCAGCAUGGCUCAGGGGGUAGAGUGGGUGAUCUAGGAAUCAGAAGGUUCCUGGUUCAAUCCCCGGCUCUUCCA